GGUAUGAAAUAAAAUGUGCACAAAUCAUGAAAUAUAUAUUUCUUUUAUUUGAAUAUAUCUGGAUGCUUCAAUGCAUCUAUAAAGUUGUGUUAAUGUUUCAUUCUAACUAUUCAUCUUGUAGACCUGAACAAAGGACAUCGUCAUCAGAUUCUGGUCCCAAUACCAAUUCAGGAGAAGAAGAUGAAUUUAAAGGUUCCGAUUAUGUCCCAUCAACCUUCUCUGCUAUGAUUUCCGAAAAUGCUUCACCGAGCAGUCACAGUCAUAGUUUAACCACUUCAGG